rnacentral:sRNA from 1 species
AAUCUUGACUCCUUUCAGUUUUCAAUGUUUGUUCAGUUCCAUCUCUUGGAGUUCUUGCUAGCCUUUGACUUCUGUUUAGCUUGUUGAAAUGCUUGCAUCUUCUGCUUCUUCCUCGCUUCUUUCUCUGCU